rnacentral:misc_RNA from 1 species
UCGUAACAAGGUUUCCGUAGGUGAACCUGCGGAAGGAUCAUUAGUGAAUUAUAGGGCGUCUACUUGUAGAGCCUGACCUCCACUUCUAACACUGUGCACUUGAUGGCGAGGUAAUGGAACUUUCGAGUGAAACUACCUUGCGGCUUCAUUUUAAACAUUAGUCAAAGUAUGUAAUGAAAUAAAAAACAAAAAAAAACUUUCAACAACGGAUCUCUUGGCUCUCGCAUCGAUGAAGAACGCAGCGAAAUGUGAUAAGUAAUGUGAAUUGCAGAAUUCAGUGAAUCAUCGAAUCUUUGAACGCACCUUGCGCUCCCUGGUAUUCCGGGGAGCAUGCCUGUUUGAGUGUCAUGAACUCUUCAACCCACCAGUUUCUAGUAGACUGCGUUGGUGUUUGGAUUUUGAGCGUUGCUAGUCUGACUAGCUCGUUCGUAAUAUAUUAGCAUCUCUAAUUCGAAUUCGGAUUGACUCAGUGUAAUAGACUAUUCGCUGAGGACACUUUUAUUAGUGGCCGUACUAGAACCAGUAGAAGCUUCCAACUAUUGUAGUCAACUUUAAUUUAGACCUCAGAUCAGGCAGGAUUACCCGCUGAACUUAAGCAUAUCA